rnacentral:rRNA from 1 species
UGCAAGUCACGGGGGCCCAGCAAUGGGUAACCGGCGAACGGGUGCGUAACACGUGAGCAACCUACCGAAAUGAGGGGGAUAGCCGUCCCAACGGACGGGUAAUACCGCAUACGCUCUAGUUCAGGCAUUUGGAUUAGAGGAAACCUCCGGGGCAUUUCGAGGGGCUCGCGGUCUAUCAGCUAGUUGGCGAGGUAACGGCUCACCAAGGCGACGACGGGUAGCUGGUCUGAGAGGAUGGCCAGCCACAUUGGGACUGAGAUACGGCCCAGACUCCUACGGGAGGCAGCAGUGGGGAAUCUUGCGCAAUGGCCUAACGGCUGACGCAGCGACGCCGCGUGAGGGAUGACGCUCUUCGGAGUGUAAACCUCUUUUGCCUGAGACGAAUUGCCAGCUUCAGCUGGUUUGACUGUAUCGGGUGAAUAAGCACCGGCUAACUCCGUGCCAGCAGCCGCGGUAAUACGGGGGGUGCGAGCGUUGUCCGGAAUCACUGGGCGUAAAGGGCGCGUAGGUGGCCUGAUAAGGGUGUGGUGAAAGUCCGGGGCUCAACCCCGGAUCGGCCGUGCCGACUGUUGGGCUGGAGUACUGUAGGGGCAGGCGGAAUUCCGGGUGUAGCGGUGGAAUGCGUAGAGAUCCGGAGGAAGACCGGUGGCGAAGGCGGCCUGCUGGGCAGUUACUGACACUGAGGCGCGACAGCGUGGGGAGCAAACAGGAUUAGAUACCCUGGUAGUCCACGCCGUAAACGAUGGGUACUAGGUGCCUGGGGGAGCGACCCCUUGGGUGCCGGCGCUAACGCAGGAAGUACCCCGCCUGGGGAGUACGGCCGCAAGGCUGAAACUCAAAGGAAUUGACGGGGGCCCGCACAAGCGGUGGAGCAUGUGGUUUAAUUCGACGCA